UGAGAAGAUAGUGGCGGACGGGUGAGUAACACGUGGGUAACCUGCCCAUAAGAGGGGGAUAACAUCCGGAAACGGGUGCUAAUACCGCAUAGUUUUCUUGAUCGCAUGAUUGAGAAAGGAAAGACGGCCUUUGUGCUGUCGCUUAUGGAUGGACCCGCGGCGUAUUAGUUAGUUGGUGAGGUAACGGCUCACCAAGACGAUGAUACGUAGCCGACCUGAGAGGGUGAUCGGCCACAUUGGGACUGAGACACGGCCCAAACUCCUACGGGAGGCAGCAGUAGGGAAUCUUCCGCAAUGGACGAAAGUCUGACGGAGCAACGCCGCGUGAGUGAAGAAGGUUUUCGGAUCGUAAAACUCUGUUGUCAGAGAAGAACAAGUCGGAGAGUAACUGCUCCGGCCUUGACGGUAUCUGACCAGAAAGCCACGGCUAACUACGUGCCAGCAGCCGCGGUAAUACGUAGGUGGCAAGCGUUGUCCGGAUUUAUUGGGCGUAAAGCGAGCGCAGGCGGUUCCUUAAGUCUGAUGUG
rnacentral:rRNA from 1 species